UACUGUGGUGAAUACGUUCCCGGGCCUUGUACACACCGCCCGUCACACCAUGAGAGUUGAGAAUACCCGAAGCCCAUGUCAAAGUGGUCGAAGGUAGGCUUGAUGAUUGGGGUGAAGUCGUAACAAGGUACC
rnacentral:rRNA from 1 species